rnacentral:lncRNA from 1 species
ACACCUUUAUUCAUCAGCAAAGGCCUUUAAUUAGGUCGUGCAUCAAACCGCUAUAAACAAAAAAUAAGAAGUCUAGAAACUAACUCCUAGAGAUUUAGACAAACAGUAGAGAAAUAACCUAGCGAACAAUACAUUAUAGUACAAUGACUCCUUUAAACUAUUUUUUUUAUAUUAACUAGUUUAAUAAUAAUUAUUCAUUCAGCAAACAUUGAGUAGUUUCCACAAUUUCAGAAAGAUCGAUGACUUAUGAGGCUUUGUGAAAUGUCAGCAAUUCGAUCUUCACUCCUGUAGUAGACGAGAUCACUCCUUCCUUUGUGAGAUCUCUUAGGAAAUAAUAUCUUCCACCUAUGUGUUUGCUUCAUCCAUGUAAAACUAGAUUUUUUGAUAGCUUGAUUGUUGAACCAUUGUCAAAAUAAAAUGUCGCAGCUUCCUCUUGCUUAAAAUACAGGCAUUCAAGAAUCUUUCUCAACCAAAUUGCUUGACAAGCACAGACUGUUGCGGCCACAAAUUCUGCUUCAAUUGUUGACAAGUAACAAUAACACGUUUCUCUGAAGACCAUAAAACAACUUUUGUUCCCAUCAUAAAUAUAUAUCUUGAAGAUUUCUUUAUGUCAUCUUGAUCUCUGGCAUAAUCACUAUUUGGUAAAGCAACACAAACAUGAUGUUUCUUUAUACUUAUAGAAAAGUCCAUAGUCACUUAUACCAUAAGUAUCUAAUAAUAUAUUUUGCAACCAAGAGGAAUUUUUGUUGGACAUUUCAUGUAUCUGUUGAUAAGACUGAUGAGCAUGAAUAUUAUCAGGCUUUAAUACUAUUAAAUACACGAGAGUUUCUAUAAUUUGCUUGUAGAGUGUGUUGUUGAUCUUUCUUCCUUUACAAUCUUUAUCAUGCUUUGUGCCUAUAAUUGUUAGUGUGCUGACAGGAUUGCAAUCUUUUCAUUCGAAAAACCUAUCUAAAAUUUCUUGUACAUAUUUUUUCGGAGAGAUAAAGAUACAGGAGUUGAUUGAUUCACUUUUAUGCAAGAAAACAAUGCAUCAUUUAAAGAUCGGUCAUCUCAAACUCAAUCAUUAUAAACUAUUUGAAUUUAUCAAACAAGAUCUUAUCGUUCCCGAUAUAGAUUAUCUCAUCAACAUAUAAACAAAACACAAGCAUCCUUUCUUAUUAAAAGGUUAUUUUAAUAAGGACAUUUUUGAAAUCAUUCCCUUAAGAAAAGGCUUCAAUUCUAUCAUACCAAAUCCGCAUGGAGCUUGCUUUUAGUCCAUACAAUACCUUUUUCCAUUUAGCACCUGUUUGAGCCACAUUAUUUUCAAAAAAAAUAUAUUUUUCAAUAGUGAUUUCACAUCAUUCCAACCACAUAUUCUUUAAUAAAAUAAUAUUAUACGCAAAUCUAAAACUUUUACUUAUUUUUUAACCACACAUUUUCCAUUAAUUUGACAUGAAUAAUAUAUUUUUUUCCUAGAAUGUGGCUCAAACGUGGGUUUAUACACUUUAUGCUAAUCACCAAUUUUGACAUGACUAGAGGGUUGAUCAAUAAAUACCUGCUCCUCCAAGUUUUCAUGCAAGAAGGUUGAUUUGAUAUCUAGUUGAAAGGUGGGGCAAUGAAUUUUGAGCUACUAGAGCAAUUACCAUUUUAAUUGUAUCACUUCUUGCAACAGGAGCGAAUAUUUCUUUAUAGUCUAUACCAAAUGCUUGCUUGUAUACUUUUGCAAUCAAUCGUUUUUUUGUACUUUUUUACUUCUCCAUUCUCUUUCAUCUUUGUUUUGAACACACAUUUCAAAUCAAUAAUUUUAUGUUUACUUGGGAGUUCAAUUAGUUCCCAAGUUUUGUUUCUUUGUAAGGCUACAAUUUCUUCGUCCGUUUCUUUCCUCCAUUUUGAUUGUUUGAUAGUAUCAUCAAAGCUUAUAGGAUCACAAUUCGAAAACGAGGCAAAGUCAAUGAGUAGGUCUUCAGAUUGGUUAACUCUUGUUACCUCAUAGUUAGCCUUCCAUGCAGGUCUUCUUCUGGACCAUUGUAAUUACUGCUUCGUCGCUGAUGUAAAUGGGGUUGAGGUGCUGUUACUAGCUCAUUCUGUAAAGCCCCGAAAAUUUUAUAGAGUAGAAUUAAUUGUUUUUUAUGCUAUAUUAUAUAUUUUUUGAAAGUUGAAGGGCAAAAAUGAAAUAUGAUUUAAAUUCAUAUAUUUUCCGGGUCAAAUAAUUAGAUUUUGAUAGAGCAGGUUAUAGUCUAUCAACAUUGGGCUCUUUUUGUAGCUUGUAAUUGAUUAGAAAUUCUCAACUCGAGAAAAAGUUAAUUCGUAUAAGUUAGAUCCAAGAUAUUGUAGUCUAGAAAGAUAUCAUUAAUUAGUUUUUUUCAUUGAAUUAAAUUUUGAGUUUAAGCGGGAGAUUUUUCUAUUUGGCCUAAUUUUAUAUCCUUUUAAUUUAUCCAUAGAAAAGUCUAUAUUGCCCUUAGUGAAAUAAUUCUUCUUAUAUUGCACAAUAUAUCCCAACUUUUUGAACCAUAUUCUAUUUUGAAUUUUUGAAUAUAAAUCAAUUCUGUGAUCUAAUAAAUUGGAAUAAUCUGCAAUAUAUUGUUCAUAUUUUUUAUUUAAUAUAUUAUAUUCUUUAGAUGAUAAAUUUGUAUUUUUUAAUUGAGAAAUAAUAUUUUUUAUUUCUUCUAACAUUCUUGCUAAUAGAUUAUCUAAUCCUUCAAUUGUAUAUCCUGACAUUCAUCAUAUAAAUAAUCUCUACGAUUCUCUAAGAUCUUAAAAAGAUUCGUUCAAAUUUUAGCACAAAUUAAUAGUCUUACCUUAUUUCUGACCUAAAUCUUUGAACUGAGUGACCUUCGAGUUCUGAAUAUGUAAACUGCUUCCUUCAACGACCUCUUGCCUUCACGGAAUUUUUACUAUUUCAGCUUCUUACUCUCCCUGUAUCAAUAUUAAAAAAUAAAUCUCUAGAUUUCGAUUAAAGAAAAACUCUCUUUUUACUAAAAUAAGCAAGAAACUUUCUAUUAGGUCCUUUAAGAAUCUAUGAGAAAAAGAUUUAGAAACUCAUAUUGAUAUCAAAAUAUUGGAAUUUUAUUUCUAUAGAGAUAUAUACAAGAUUUCUAUUUGAUACAAAAAGAUUUUCAAAAAAAACUGGUUUUUCAAACUGAUGAUGGCUUGAGAGUAGCUAUUGAUUACAAUUCGAG